rnacentral:rRNA from 1 species
UACGUAGGGCGCAAGCGUUGUCCGGAAUUAUUGGGCGUAAAGAGCUCGUAGGCGGCUUGUCACGUCGAUUGUGAAAGCCCGAGGCUUAACCUCGGGCCUGCAGUCGAUACGGGCUAGCUAGAGUGUGGUAGGGGAGAUCGGAAUUCCUGGUGUAGCGGUGAAAUGCGCAGAUAUCAGGAGGAACACCGGUGGCGAAGGCGGAUCUCUGGGCCAUUACUGACGCUGAGGAGCGAAAGCGUGGGGAGCGAACAGG